rnacentral:rRNA from 1 species
CGCGUAGGUGGCGCGACAAGUCAACGGUGAAAGCCCGGGGCUCAACCCCGGGUCGGCCGUCGAUACUGUUGGGCUCGAGCACUGUAGAGGCAGGUGGAAUUCCGGGUGUAGCGGUGGAAUGCGUAGAGAUCCGGAAGAACACCGGUGGCGAAGGCGGCCUGCUGGGCAGUAGCUGACACUGAGGCGCGACAGCGUGGGGAGCAAACA